AAAGGAAUAGACGGGGACCCACACAAGCAGUGGAUCAUGUGGUUUAAUUCGACAAUAAACGAGGGACCUUACCCAGGCUUGACAUCCCGAGAAGUCCGAUGAAAGUUGGAUGUGCCCGCAAGGGAACUCGGUGACAGGCGCUGCAUGGUUGUCGUCAGCUCGUGCCUUGAGGUGUUCGGUUAAGUCCGUUAACGAGCGCAACCCAUGUCGUUAGUUAUUAUGUCUAACGAGACUGCCUGAGUUAAUCAGGAGGAAGGUGUGGAUGACGUCAAAUCAGCAUGGCCCUUAUGCCUGGGGCCACACACAUGAUACAAUGGUCGGUACAAAGAGUCGCAAUACAGUAAUGUGGAGCCAAUCUAUAAAGCCGAUCUCAGUCCGGAUUGGGGGCUGCAACUCGCCCUCAUGAAGUUGGAAUUGCUAGUAAUCGUGAAUCAGACAUGUCACGGUGAAUCUGUUCCUGGGUCUUGUACACACCGCCCGU
rnacentral:rRNA from 1 species